GCCUGCUUAGUAUAGUGGUUAGUACUCCACGUUGUGGCCGUGGCGACGCUGGUUCGAUUCCACCAGCAGGCA
rnacentral:tRNA from 1 species